rnacentral:rRNA from 1 species
GAUGAACGCUGGCGGCGUGCCUAAUACAUGCAAGUCGAGCGAACGGACGAGAAGCUUGCUUCUCUGAUGUUAGCGGCGGACGGGUGAGUAACACGUGGAUAACCUACCUAUAAGACUGGGAUAAUUUCGGGAAACCGGAGCUAAUACCGGAUAAUAUUUUGAACCGCAUGGUUCAAAAGUGAAAGACGGUCUUGCUGUCACUUAUAGAUGGAUCCGCGCUGCAUUAGCUAGUUGGUAAGGUAACGGCUUACCAAGGCAACGAUGCAUAGCCGACCUGAGAGGGUGAGCGGCCACACUGGAACUGAGACACGGUCCAGACUCCUACGGGAGGCAGCAGUAGGGAAUCUUCCGCAAUGGGCGAAAGCCUGACGGAGCAACGCCGCGUGAGUGAUGAAGGUCUUCGGAUCGUAAAACUCUGUUAUUAGGGAAGAACAUAUGUGUAAGUAACUGUGCACAUCUUGACGGUACCUAAUCAGAAAGCCACGGCUAACUACGUG